rnacentral:rRNA from 1 species
AGAGUUUGAUCCUGGCUCAGAACGAACACUGGCGGCGGGUCUUAUACAUGCAAGUCGAACGGUGAAAAUUUCCCUUCGGGGAAAACACGAGUGGCGGACGGGUGAGUAACACGUAGGAACCUGCCCUGGAGAGGGGGACAGCACCGGGAAGCUGGUGGUAAUACCCCAUAAUAUGGAAACAUCAAAGCCCAGGCCCUGCUUGCAGGGCUGGGCGCUCUGGGAUGGGCCUGCGGUCUAUCAGCUUGUUGGUGGGGUAAAGGCCUACCAAGGCUACGACGGAUAGCCGGCCUGAGAGGGUGAACGGUCACAUUGGCACUGAGACACGGGCCAGACUCCUACGGGAGGCAGCUGUUAAGAAUCUUGCGCAAUAGGCGAAAGCCUGACGCAGCCACGCCGCGUGAGCGAUGAAUGCCUUCGGGUUGUAAAGCUCAUUAAGUUGGGAAGAAGAAGCAAGGUCCAAUAGGCCUUGUGGUGACUGUACCAACCUGAAGCCCCGGCCUAAUACGUGCCAGCAGCCGCGGUAAUACGUGAGGGGCAAGCGUUGUUCGGAUUUAUUGGGCGUAAAGGGCACGCAGGUGGAAUAUUAAGUUGGAUGUAUAAUCUCCAGGCUCAACCUGGACCCUGCAUCCAAAACUAGUAAUCUAGAGUCCUGGAGAGGAAAGCGGAAUUCUCGGUGUAGCGGUGGAAUGCGUAGAUAUCGAGAGGAACACCUAUGGCGAAGGCAGCUUUCUGGACAGUGACUGACACUCAUGUGCGAAAGCGUGGGGAGCAAACAGGAUUAGAUACCCUGGUAGUCCACGCCCUAAACGUUGUGCACUAGGUGUUGGGGGUUUCAACGCCCUCAGUGCCGCAGCUAACGCAUUAAGUGCACCGCCUGGGGAGUAUGCCCGCAAGGGUGAAACUCAAAGGAAUUGACGGGGGCCCGCACAAGCGGUGGAGCAUGUGGUUUAAUUCGACGAUACGCGAAGAACCUUACCCGGGCUUGACAUCUUCUGGACGGGCAUAGAGAUAUGCCUUCCUUUAUGGUCAGUUGACAGGUGUUGCAUGGUCGUCGUCAGCUCGUGUUGUGAGAUGUUGGGUUAAGUCCCGCAACGAGCGCAACCCUUACCUCCUGUUGCUACCAGGUAAUGCUGGGCACUCUGGAGGAACUGCCGGUGACAAACCGGAGGAAGGUGGGGAUGACGUCAGAUCAGCGUGGCCCUUACGUCCGGGGCUACACACGUGCUACAAUGGCCGGUACAAAGGGAUGCCAAAUCGCGAGGUGGAGCAAAUCUCAAAAAACCGGUCUCAGUUCGGAUUGCAGUCUGCAACUCGACUGCAUGAAGUUGGAAUCGCUAGUAAUCGUGAAUCAGCAACGUCGCGGUGAAUACGUUCCCGGGCCUUGUACACACCGCCCGUCACACCACCCGAGUG